rnacentral:rRNA from 1 species
UACGUAGGGUGCAAGCGUUGUCCGGAAUUAUUGGGCGUAAAGGGCUCGUAGGCGGUCCAUCGCGUCGGGAGUGAAAAGCUGGGGCUCAACCCCAGUCCUGCUUCCGAUACGGGUGGACUAGAGGUAUGCAGGGGAGAACGGAAUUCCUGGUGUAGCGGUGAAAUGCGUAGAGAUCGGGAGGAACACCAGAGGCGAAGGCGGCGACCUGGACAGUGACUGACACUCAACUGCGAAAGCGUGGGGAGCAAACAGG